rfam:Erinaceus europaeus unplaced genomic scaffold scaffold00840, whole genome shotgun sequence
CAAAAGGGUUUCUGUCGUGAGUGACACAUGCAGGGGAGCCCGUUUGCUCUGUGUGUGAAACCGACAUGGAGAGAUUUCGGAAGCAGAAUUUUUGUUGUUUGGGCAGCUGGUAAUUGUUGGUCCCCAUGCCCUU